CCUACGGGGGGCUGCAGUGGGGAAUAUUGGACAAUGGGCGAAAGCCUGAUCCAGCCAUGCCGCGUGUGUGAAGAAGGCCUUCGGGUUGUAAAGCACUUUCAGUGGGGAAGAAAGCCUUGGGGCUAAUACCCUCGAGGAAGGACAUCACCCACAGAAGAAGCACCGGCUAACUCCGUGCCAGCAGCCGCGGUAAUACGGAGGGUGCGAGCGUUAAUCGGAAUUACUGGGCGUAAAGCGCGCGUAGGCGGUCUGAUAAGCCGGUUGUGAAAGCCCCGGGCUCAACCUGGGAACGGCAUCCGGAACUGUCAGGCUAGAGUGCAGGAGAGGAAGGUAGAAUUCACGGUGUAGCGGUGAAAUGCGUAGAGAUCGGGAGGAAUACCAGUGGCGAAGGCGGCCUUCUGGACUGACACUGACGCUGAGGUGCGAAAGCGUGGGUAGCAAACAGGAUUAGAUACCCGUGUAGUC
rnacentral:rRNA from 1 species